rnacentral:rRNA from 1 species
GAUGAACGCUGGCGGCGUGCCUAAUACAUGCAAGUCGAGCGAACAGACGAGGAGCUUGCUCCUCUGAUGUUAGCGGCGGACGGGUGAGUAACACGUGGAUAACCUACCUAUAAGACUGGGAUAACUUCGGGAAACCGGAGCUAAUACCGGAUAACAUGUUGAACCGCAUGGUUCAACAGUGAAAGACGGUCUUGCUGUCACUUAUAGAUGGAUCCGCGCCGCAUUAGCUAGUUGGUAAGGUAACGGCUUACCAAGGCAACGAUGCGUAGCCGACCUGAGAGGGUGAUCGGCCACACUGGAACUGAGACACGGUCCAGACUCCUACGGGAGGCAGCAGUAGGGAAUCUACCGCAAUGGGCGAAAGCCUGACGGAACGACGCCGCGUGAGUGAAGAAGGUCUUCGGAUCGUAAAACUCUGUUAUUAGGGAAGAACAAAUGUGUAAGUAACUAUGCACGUCUUGACGGUACCUAAUCAGAAAGCCACGGCUAACUACGUG